UCUUGUGUGGAAUGUCAGUAACGGGGGAUGUUAUGCAUAUGUGAAGGCAGGCAGUAUAUGGAAAAUCUCUGUGCCUUCUGCUCAAUUUUUCUGUGAACCUAAAACUUCUCUAAAAAAUAAAGUCUAUAAAAAAUUCAAUAUGAAAACAAACCAAUUUUUUAAAGUCAGUAAAAGAUUUGAACAGAUACUUCACCAAAGACAAUAUAGAGGUGGCAAAUAAGCACAUGAAAAUAUGCUCAAUAUCAUUAGUCAUUAAGGAAAUGCACAUUAAAAUAACAAGAUAUACCACUACACAUCUUUUAGAGUGACCAAACUUGAAAAAUAUGACAAUAUCAACUGCUAGCAAGGAUGUGGAGUAACUGAAAUGCUUUUACAUUACUAAUGGGAAUGUAAAAUGCUACAGGCACUUUAGAAAACAGUUUAGCAGUUUCUUAUAAAGCUAAAUGUGCACAGACCCUAUGACCCAGCCAUCACACUCCUAGAUAUUUACCCAAGAGAAAUGGAAACAUACAUUUACACAAAAACUGCGUGAGUAAUUAAUAGUGGCUUUAUUCAAAAUCACAAAAAAACUGAAUACAACCCAAAUGUCUUUCACCUGAUGAACGGAUAUAAACAAACUCUGAAUACCAUACAAUGAAAUACUACAGAACAAUAAAAAGUAUGAACUACAUGCAACAACACGGAUAAAUCUCAAAAUAGUUACAUUGAGUGAAAGAAGCCAUAUUCAAAAGGCUAUGAUUACAUUUAUAUGACAUUUUGGAAAAUAAAAAACUGUUGACAACAUUGACAGAAAACAUAUCGGUAGUUUCCAGAAGCUUGGAACAGAGACAGCACAGGGGAAUUUGGAGGGGAGAGUAUGAUGGGAUUGUUCUGUAUCCUGAUUUUGAUGGUGUUUACAUGAUUGAAUGAUUUUUCAAAAUGCAUAGCACUCUUUGAAUUUUGCAGCACAUUUCAUUCUACGUAAAUUAAGCCUCAAAAACUAAAAUUUAAAAAUGUCAAUUAGAUUUUUUUUUAAAUCUCAAGUAGUAUAGCCUAAAUGCCAAAGUCAGAUGUUUGAAUUUUGAACAUUAUAAAAACAAAGGAAUACAGAAUCCAAGUUAAGGUAGUAAAUCUUAAAUAGAGAGCUUUGUUUUGACCUGUGAUUUCUCAUCAAAGGCCAGUCAAUUCUUACGCACAGGUAUUUUUGUUUGUUUGUUUAGUUCUCCCUCAUUUCUUCCUUGGUUCAAGAUGGACAAUCUCUGAAUUUCCGUGACCACCAAGGAUGCAGUGGAUCUUCAUCUUUUCCCUAAGUCAGACAGACAGAAAU
rnacentral:lncRNA from 1 species